UUAUUUAAAAGAAUGAGCCACUUGUGCUUAACCAAAACCACCAUUACAGCAAAGAUCUCCUUGAGAGUGAGCUGCAGGGGAAGAGUCCUCCACAAGGAAGGAAGGUGGAGAAGCUACAUGUGACAGCAAGGCAGUCAGAGUAGUGUCAUUCCAGAUCAAGGGCCACAGUGCCAAAACAGAGCAUGCAGAACAGGUCUGGAAAUGGUAAACAGUGUCAGCCAAGAGUGCAGCUUUCCAGGCAAGUCCACAGUGAUUUGAGAAUCCUAAAGUCAAGUCCGUGUUUCAGGGUCAGGAUUGAAAUCAAGAGGGUACCUGGUCAGGUAUGGGCAGAGGAACAGCAUUGUUCUGAAAGAAAACAAGCAUGAAGGCCUGGCCUAAAAGCAGCUUAAAAGAGAAAGGUGG
rnacentral:lncRNA from 1 species